CUCAACAAAAGAGCUUUUAGCUCAAAUGCCAUUUAACCUAGCUUCACAGGAUGACUUAUUUUAGUUUCUGUGUUGACCAAGUAAAGUCCUUCACUCCAACUACCUAAUAGCCCACCACCUUGGUUGAUCCCAGGUCUGUUUGCCAGGUCAUGCACUUUGAACAGGCAUGGAACAAGAGUCAAGUCUGGUAAAUUUGGACUCCAGAGCUUUAUUUAUAAGACCUAGAAAAAGGAAGAAAGAAGAUAUGAUGUAAGAAUACAUUUCAUCUGACUGAAAGGGAAAGUAAGAAAGCCCUUCAGGUUCCAGAGAGAGGAGUCCAGGGCGGGAGGAGAAAGAGAGGCAAGAAAUAUAUCAGAAUUGAGGAAAAUGACUUACCAUCAAGAUAAAGAUUCCAUGUGGAAGAAGGUUGGAGAAACUCUCACAGCAGGCUGACCCACCCCAAACAUCUCAAGCUCAAGCUUGAGGAAGAUCUGGACAGAAGGUUCUUUGAGGCAUUGCUCAACUGGAGGUCAUUUCUGCUGUUGGCAGAAUGGAAAUCCCAAAAACACGUAUUUGAGAGUCCACAGACUGUCUUCAUAGUGUAUUUAAGUAACUUCAAAAGCUUUGUUGGAAAAUAAUUAUGUAAUCCAGGUCCUUCUGCUUCAUGAGGAAUCACUAUGUUCCCGAACACCCAACAGUCUUAUUCCAAGUCACCAUACUGGAUACAAGAAGUAGUGUCUCCUCCUCAAGUAUCUCUAAGCAUCCCUGGCUGGCUUACAUUCCUGGUGGUUGCUUGUCAUAUCAGCUGCAUGUAACCAAAUCUAACUGUGGCGGCUUAACCAAGCAGAUGAGGGGUGUUAUUGUCACACAUUAAAAGUCUGGAGCAUCCCACAGGUAGAGAGAACAUGACAGUGUCAGGGUCCCAUGGAAAGGUAUUCAAAGUGGAAUGGGAUCCUUGAGGAGUCCGGAGAUCCUGUAGCUUUUGACUGAAUCGCUCCUCCUUGGGAGUCCACUGAUGCUGGGUCCUCAGAGGAGUAUGUGUAAAGAGAGGCACAGCUGCAUGCCCAUGCUAACGAAGAAUGCAGAACCUGAGCUUCAGUUUUCUUCCCACUGACGAUGGAAGCUAAGGUACACAACUGGGAAACAAGUGUUUGGCACCUUUUCCACCUGCAGACAGGGUUAUGAUUGUAUUGAUGUCGAGCAUGGCUUGGAGAUUAUCAGGUCUCACAGAAUCGCAUUAUAACGAUAGGGAUGGUGCAUGGAGGAGUGACACUGUCCAAUGCCAUUGCCAAGAGCAGCCAGGCAUUAAGACGUUGUCAAGUCAGCGAAUAUCCUGUUAUAACCCCUCUUUGAGAACAGUGGGGCUCUUCUGGGUCCUCGGCUGCCUGAGGCCAGGGAAGGAAGAUGCGCCUGGUAGGACAGCGGCACCCCAGGAAGCCAAGGUCUUGGUGGCAAAGAACAGUGGGAGAGGGAAGAUUAAAUGAGAAAAUUAUAUGAAGUACCUACAUCAGCACCUGGCACAGUACAAGGAGACUCAAGAUAUUUGGAUCCUUUAACGAGCAUGAUCUUUUUGUCACACUGAGAAAUCGUACAAUGAGGCAACAUAGGCCUGUAGAAUUUGUGAGAUAAUAUAUUGAUAAAUUUGCUAAUUCAACUACAGAAUAGUGUUCCCAGUCACUGGACCCACACUGAAAGAAAAA